GCCAGCUAUUGUGGGGCAACCCCUGUGGAUGAAGAGGUCCAGCUGCUGGCUGCGUCCGCUGUCUGAGUUCUGCAUGCACUGAAGGACCUAGAAGAGAUUCUUUCACAGGCAAAGGCAGUUUACAGAAAAUAAGAUUGGGAAAUGAGGUAGACCAGAUGUGGAGGCGACGGGCGUUCCAUGAAAAGGGUGUGUGGGGAUCCGAACUGAAGAGCACUUUCCAGGAGACACACUUCGCUGUCCACACAGAGACCAGGACGCAUUCGUGGACUCACUUGCCCUAACUUCUGUCAUGCUGCUUGCAACGCACGGCCAAUCCCAGCAUGAAUGAAGCCAGCAAGACUUUUCUUGGUGUUUGUUGAGUGGGAUUCUGGUGCCUCCUGUGCAGAUUCACUUUUUACAAAAUUAUGUUGACAGUCUUGCUUAUAGGCCUCAAAAAACUCUGAGUAAGAUGCGCUGGUUUGCCUUUGGAACAUAGGAUAGGCACUGUUAUCAGAAUCUGCUGCAAUCUCAUA
rnacentral:lncRNA from 1 species